CCGAGCAGGGCGCGGCCAGGGAGAUGGGCGCCGAGUAGCCGAGCUGGAGAUUGAGCACAGGAAAAUGAGUGGCCGAGCAGGGAGCCGCCGCGGUGGCCAUGGGGAGCAGCGAACUCGGAUAGGCAGGGGAGAGCGCGGUCGAGCAUGGGGCUUGGGCGCCGGCAGAGAGGAGCGAGCAGAGGGCAGGGCGCGGUGGAGAGCUGAGCACCAGAGAGAGAGAGAGAGAGAGCAGCGCCGCCAAUGGAUGAGGGAGAUAGCCGUGCAAGGAGGGGAGGAGAAGCAGAAGCCGAGCUGAGAGCAGGGAGGGGCGCGCCAUGAGGAUCUCAGCGCGGCUGGGAGGAGCGUGAGGAAGCUGCGCGGUUGGCUGAAGAAGAAGGCCGCGCGUAAGGGAUAAGGAAGAGAGACGGCGGCUGAAAAAAAAAUCAGCAAGAGAGAG
rnacentral:lncRNA from 7 species